rnacentral:misc_RNA from 1 species
AUUUUAUUCGGGAUUACUUUGGUGUUCAGUUGAUUGCUUCUCAUGCUACUUAUCUAGGUUUGCCAGCAAUAAUUGGCUGAUCAAAAAAGGACAUCUUUAACAUUAUCAAGGAGAGAGUUUGGAAGAAAAUGAAGGGGUGGAAGGAGAGAUUUCUUUCCUAAGCAAGGAAGGAGAUUUUAAUAGAGAUAGUUGUUCAAGCUAUUCCUACUUAUAUUACGAGUUGUUUUGCAUUACCAAUUUCUCUCUGU